AAUGAACGCUGGCGGCGUGCCUAACACAUGCAAGUCGAACGGAAGUAGCAAUACUUCAGUGGCGCACGGGUGAGUAAUACUUGGGUAAUCUGCCUUGUUGUGGGGGAUAACUACGCGAAAGUGUAGGUAAUACCGCAUACGCAGCAUCCACUACGGUGGGUACUGGAAAGGAAGCCGUAAGGCUACCGCAAUAAGAUGAGCUCAAUGCCUAUUAGCUAGUU
rnacentral:rRNA from 1 species